GGACCCAUAGCUCAGCGGUAGAGCAUCUGAUUCCAGUUUGAGACUUUACCAUUACGGAGCACUUCCACUCCGGCUAAGUAAAUGUCAACUGCCUCCAGAAGGUCAUCCGUUCAAAUCGGGUUGGGUUCA